CUUGCUUCUCUUGAGAGCGGCGGACGGGUGAGUAAUGCCUAGGAAUCUGCCUGGUAGUGGGGGAUAACGUUCGGAAACGGACGCUAAUACCGCAUACGUCCUACGGGAGAAAGCAGGGGACCUUCGGGCCUUGCGCUAUCAGAUGAGCCUAGGUCGGAUUAGCUAGUUGGUGGGGUAAUGGCUCACCAAGGCUACGAUCCGUAACUGGUCUGAGAGGAUGAUCAGUCACACUGGAACUGAGACACGGUCCAGACUCCUACGGGAGGCAGCAGUGGGGAAUAUUGGACAAUGGGCGAAAGCCUGAUCCAGCCAUGCCGCGUGUGUGAAGAAGGUCUUCGGAUUGUAAAGCACUUUAAGUUGGGAGGAAGGGUUGUAGAUUAAUACUCUGCAAUUUUGACGUUACCGACAGAAUAAGCACCGGCUAACUCUGUGCCAGCAGCCGCGGUAAUACAGAGGGUGCAAGCGUUAAUCGGAAUUACUGGGCGUAAAGCGCGCGUAGGUGGUUUGUUAAGUUGGAUGUGAAAUCCCCGGGCUCAACCUGGGAACUGCAUUCAAAACUGACUGACUAGAGUAUGGUAGAGGGUGGUGGAAUUUCCUGUGUAGCGGUGAAAUGCGUAGAUAUAGGAAGGAACACCAGUGGCGAAGGCGACCACCUGGACUAAUACUGACACUGAGUGCGAAAGCGUGGGGAGCAAACAGGAUUAGAUACCCUGGUAUCCACGCCCGUAGACGAUGUCACUAGCCGUUGGAA
rnacentral:rRNA from 1 species